CCUACGGGUGGCUGCAGUGGGGAAUAUUGGACAAUGGGCGAAAGCCUGAUCCAGCCAUGCCGCGUGUGUGAAGAAGGCCUUCGGGUUGUGAAGCACUUUCAGUGGGGAAGAAAGCCUUGGGGCUAAUACCCUCGAGGAAGGACAUCACCCACAGAAGAAGCACCGGCUAACUCCGUGCCAGCAGCCGCGGUAAUACGGAGGGUGCGAGCGUUAAUCGGAAUUACUGGGCGUAAAGCGCGCGUAGGCGGUCUGAUAAGCCGGUUGUGAAAGCCCCGGGCUCAACCUAGGAACGGCAUCCGGAACUGUCAGGCUAGAGUGCAGGAGAGGAAGGUAGAAUUCCCGGUGUAGCGGUGAAAUGCGUAGAGAUCGGGAGGAAUACCAGUGGCGAAGGCGGCCUUCUGGACUGACACUGACGCUGAGGUGCGAAAGCGUGGGUAGCAAACAGGAUUAGAUACCCGAGUAGUC
rnacentral:rRNA from 1 species